GUCCAUGCCGUAAACGUUGGGCACUAGGUGUGGGGCCAGUUCCACUGGUUCUGUGCCGUAGCUAACGCAUUAAGUGCCCCGCCUGGGGAGUACGGCCGCAAGGCUAAAACUCAAAGGAAUUGACGGGGGCCCGCACAAGCGGCGGAGCAUGCGGAUUAAUUCGAUGCAACGCGAAGAACCUUACCAAGGCUUGACAUGUACGAGAAAGCCCCAGAGAUUGGGUUCUCUUUGGACACUCGUACACAGGUGGUGCAUGGUUGUCGU
rnacentral:rRNA from 1 species